ACGGGUGAGUAACGCGUGGGAAUCAACCCAUCCCUACGGAAUAACGCAUGGAAACGUGUGCUAAUACCGUAUACGCCCUACGGGGGAAAGAUUUAUCGGGGAUGGAUGAGCCCGCGUUGGAUUAGCUAGUUGGUGGGGUAAAGGCCUACCAAGGCGACGAUCCAUAGCUGGUCUGAGAGGAUGAUCAGCCACAUUGGGACUGAGACACGGCCCAAACUCCUACGGGAGGCAGCAGUGGGGAAUAUUGGACAAUGGGCGCAAGCCUGAUCCAGCCAUGCCGCGUGAGUGAUGAAGGCCUUAGGGUUGUAAAGCUCUUUCACCGGAGAAGAUAAUGACGGUAUCCGGAGAAGAAGCCCCGGCUAACUUCGUGCCAGCAGCCGCGGUAAUACGAAGGGGGCUAGCGUUGUUCGGAAUUACUGGGCGUAAAGCGCACGUAGGCGGACUUUUAAGUCAGGGGUGAAAUCCCAGAGCUCAACUCUGGAACUGCCUUUGAUACUGGAAGUCUGGAGUAUGGAAGAGGUGAGUGGAAUUCCGAGU
rnacentral:rRNA from 1 species